UGCAAUAGACCAGAGAAACUGGGAUUGAUUGAUUGAUUCUAACACAUGCUUCCUACCACAGGUGACGUUGAGUUAGUUCACUUUUGAGCCUUCUUACAGGAUGAAGAUUUCACCUCUGGGAAAGAAGGGAAGAAAUCUCUUUUUAAAAAAAUGGAUCUAGGACCCGUUUCUCAGAACUCGACCUCAGACACAGGGGAAGCAACCCCAGAUCGUCAACCAUGAGAAGACCAACCCCCAGUGCUCCUCACUACAAGGAGAGAGAAAAGUGUCUCCCUGGAUGGUCAGGCCCAGAGGCCCCUCCCUGAUGAGUCAAGAAGGAGUUACCUGCGAACAAGUCAAGGAAGAUGUUAGAACCAGAGGAGCAUCAGGACCUUGUGAUAAAAGAGCUCAGAGAAAUUAUAUAUGCACUGAAUAUGGAUGUCUGAGAGGUGGGGAAGAUUCCUUGGGGAGAUAAAUGGUUAAAGGAAUCGUAA